rnacentral:rRNA from 1 species
CGUCCUACGGGACGCAGCAGUGGGGAAUAUUGCACAAUGGGCGAAAGCCUGAUGCAGCAACGCCGCGUGAGCGAUGAAGGCCUUCGGGUCGUAAAGCUCUGUCCUCAAGGAAGAUAAUGACGGUACUUGAGGAGGAAGCCCCGGCUAACUACGUGCCAGCAGCCGCGGUAAUACGUAGGGGGCUAGCGUUAUCCGGACUUACUGGGCGUAAAGGGUGCGUAGGUGGUUUCUUAAGUCAGAGGUGAAAGGCUACGGCUCAACCGUAGUAAGCCUUUGAAACUGGGAAGAUUG